GUGGGAGCUGGGCCGGCUGCGCCGCGCGGGUGCGCGCCUCCGCGGAGCAUUACGGCGCCCAUUCCCGGCUCCCCGGCUCCGCCAGCGCUGAGGAGCGGACGCGCGGAGCCCCGCAGCGCGGCCAUGGCCGAGCGCCGCGCCUUCGCUCAGAAGAUCAGCAGAACGGUGGCUGCUGAAGUCAGGAAGCAGAUCUCAGGACAGUAUGGAGGGUCUCCCCAGCUCCUCAAAAACCUCAAUAUUGGAGGCAGCGUCUCUCAUCAUACAACCGUGCCGCUUACAGAAGCGGUGGACCCGGUCGAUUUGGAGGACUACCUUAUCACACACCCCAUUGCCGUGGAGUCCGGACCCCUGAGAGACCUGCUCGAGUUUCCUCCCGAUGACAUCGAGGUCGUGUACACCCCCCGAGAAUGUCGAACGCUUGUGUCGGCUGUGCCUGAAGAGAGUGAGAUGGACCCUCACGUGAGGGACUGUGUGAGAAGUUACACAGAAGACUGGGCAAUUGUGAACAGAAAAUAUCACAAGCUGGGGACUGGAUUUAAUCCCAACACCUUAGACAAACAGAAGGAGAGGCAAAAGGGGCUCCCCAAACAGAUCUUUGAGUCUGACGAAGCUCCAGAUGGCAACAGUUAUCAGGAUGAACAAGAUGACCUUAAACGACGUUCAAUGUCGAUUGACGAUACUCCCCGGGGCAGCUGGGCAUGCAGUAUUUUUGAUCUGAAGAACUCCCUUCCAGAUGCCCUUCUCCCAAACCUCCUGGACCGAACCCCAAACGAAGAGAUCGACCACCACAAUGAAGACCAGAGGAAGUCCAGCAGGCAUAAGGAGCUUUUUGCACUACAUCCAGCACCAGAUGAGGAGGAGCCUAUUGAACGACUUAGUGUCCCUGAAGUACCCAAAGAACACUUUGGCCAAAGACUCCUUGUGAAGUGUUUGUCCCUUAAAUUCGAAAUAGAAAUUGAGCCCAUUUUUGCAAGUUUGGCUUUGUAUGAUGUUAAAGAAAAGAAAAAGAUUUCAGAAAAUUUCUACUUUGAUUUAAACUCUGAACAAAUGAAGGGAAUGCUUCGUCCCCAUGUCCCCCCUGCUGCUAUAUCCACACUGGCCAGAUCUGCGAUCUUUUCCAUCACUUAUCCCUCUCAAGAUGUCUUUCUGGUAAUUAAGCUGGAAAAAGUAUUACAGCAGGGAGAUAUUGGGGAGUGUGCAGAGCCUUAUAUGAUUUUUAAAGAAUCUGAUGCAGCAAAGAAUAAGGAAAAGUUGGAAAAACUGAAAUGCCAGGCAGAACAGUUUUGCCAAAGACUGGGCAAGUAUCGAAUGCCGUUUGCCUGGACGGCCAUUCAUUUAAUGAACAUCGUGAGCAGCGCCGGAAGUUUGGAAAGAGAUUCCACGGAAGGUGAAGUUGGCACAGGAGAACGUAAAGGAUCGUGGUCAGAGAGACGGAAUUCCAGUAUUGUUGGGAGGCGUUCGUUAGAGAGAACCACAAGUGGGGAUGAGGCUUGCAACUUGACCAGUUUUAGACCAGCUACUCUGACAGUGACAAACUUCUUCAAACAGGAGGGUGAUCGCCUGAGCGAUGAGGAUUUGUACAAGUUCCUUGCUGACAUGAGGCGGCCGUCUUCGGUGUUACGGAGACUGAGACCUAUCACAGCUCAAUUAAAGAUAGACAUAUCCCCAGCUCCAGAGAAUCCCCAUUACUGUCUAACUCCGGAGUUGCUGCAAGUCAAACUUUACCCAGACAGCAGAGUUCGGCCUACGAGAGAAAUCCUGGAGUUUCCUGCCAGGGAUGUCUACGUUCCAAAUACCACCUACAGGAAUCUUCUUUACGUCUACCCUCAGAGUCUUAACUUCGCCAACCGCCAAGGAUCUGCGAGGAACAUCACUGUAAAGGUCCAGUUCAUGUAUGGAGAGGACACCAGCAACGCGAUGCCGGUCAUCUUUGGCAAAUCAAGCUGUCCUGAAUUUUCCAAAGAAGCGUACACAGCUGUGGUAUAUCACAACAGAUCGCCUGAUUUUCAUGAGGAAAUCAAGAUUAAGCUUCCAGCCACUUUAACUGAUCACCACCACCUGCUUUUCACCUUCUACCAUGUCAGCUGCCAGCAGAAACAAAACACUCCCCUGGAGACUCCAGUUGGAUACACUUGGAUACCAAUGCUUCAAAAUGGACGGUUAAAGACCGGUCAGUUCUGCCUCCCUGUUUCACUGGAAAAACCACCACAGGCUUAUUCAGUGCUGUCUCCAGAGGUUCCGCUCCCUGGGAUGAAGUGGGUGGAUAACCACAAAGGGGUUUUCAACGUAGAAGUUGUCGCUGUAUCGUCCCUCCACACUCAGGACCCUUACCUCGACAAGUUCUUUGCACUUGUCCAUGCUCUGGAUGAGCACAUGUUCCCUGUGCGAAUAGGAGAUAUGAGAAUUAUGGAAAACAACUUGGAAAAUGAACUGAAGAGCAGCAUUUCAGCUUUAAAUUCUUCUCAACUGGAGCCGGUAGUGCGAUUUCUUCAUCUCCUGCUUGACAAACUGAUUCUCCUGGUAGUAAGACCUCCUGUCAUUGCAGGCCAAAUAGUUAACCUGGGUCAAGCAUCUUUCGAAGCGAUGGCAUCCAUCAUAAACCGGCUUCACAAGAACUUGGAUGGGAACCAGGACCAGCACGGCAGAAACAGCCUUCUCGCUUCCUAUAUUUAUUAUGUUUUUCGCCUACCAAAUACCUAUCCCAACUCACCAUCACCAGGUCCUGGUGGCUUGGGGGGAUCGGUGCAUUACGCCACCAUGGCUCGAUCUGCCGUCCGACCAGCGAGCCUGAACUUGAACCGCUCGCGGAGCCUCAGCAACAGCAACCCAGACAUAUCUGGGACCCCCACCUCGCCGGACGAUGAAGUUCGCUCCAUCAUUGGCAGUAAGGGUUUAGACCGCUCCAAUUCCUGGGUAAACACUGGUGGUCCAAAAGCAGCCCCAUGGGGAUCCAACCCCAGCCCAAGUGCAGAGUCAACACAGGCUACGGAUCGAAGUUGUAAUCGUAUGUCUUCGCACACUGAGACGUCAAGUUUCUUACAAACAUUAACAGGACGAUUACCAACCAAAAAGCUUUUUCACGAAGAGCUGGCCUUACAGUGGGUUGUGUGCAGCGGGAGCGUGCGGGAGGCAGCCCUACAGCAAGCCUGGUUCUUCUUCGAGCUGAUGGUGAAGAGCAUGGUGCAUCAUUUGUAUUUUGCUGACAAACUGGAUGCGCCAAGAAAGAAUCGUUUUCCUGAGCGUUUCAUGGAUGAUGUAACUGCUUUGGUCAGCACAAUUGCCGGUGAUAUAGUCUCUCGGUUUCAGAAGGAUACAGAAAUGGUUGAAAGGCUCAACACCAGUCUUGCGUUUUUCCUCAAUGACCUGUUGUCUAUCAUGGACAGAGGAUUUGUUUUCGUUCUUAUUAAGACUUGCUACAAACAGGUGUCUUCAAAGCUGUAUUCCUUAACAAAUCCAAGUAACCUGGCGUCUCUGAGGCUGGACUUCCUUCGCAUCAUUUGCAGCCACGAACACUACGUUACCUUGAACUUACCCUGCAGCUUGCUCACACCGCCUGCAUCUCCAUCACCGUCUGUGUCUUCAGCAACUUCUCAGAGUUCUGGAUUCUCCACAAAUGUCCAAGACCAGAAGAUUGCAAAUAUGUUUGAAUUGUCUGUGCCUUUCCGCCAACAGCAUUACUUGGCCGGGCUUGUAUUGACAGAACUAGCUGUCAUUUUAGAUCCUGAUGCAGAAGGUUUAUUUGGAUUGCAUAAGAAGGUCAUCAAUAUGGUACACAAUUUACUGUCCAGUCAUGACUCGGAUCCGCGGUACGCUGACCCGCAGGUAAAGGCCCGGGUGGCAAUGCUGUAUCUACCUCUGAUUGGCGUGAUCAUGGAAGCCGUGCCUCAGCUUUAUGACUUUACAGAGAGUCACAACCAGCGAGGGAGGCCGAGCUGCGUUGCUGUCGAUGAUUACGAAAGCGAGGGUGGAAGCAUGAUAAGCCAGACAGUUGCCAUGGCCAUCGCAGGAACGUCGGUGCCUCAGCUCACCCGGCCCAGCAGUUUUCUACACACCUCGUCGAGUGGCAGGCAGCACUCCACCUUCUCAACAGAGUCCAGCCGCAGCCUCCUGAUCUGUCUCUUGUGGGUGCUCAAGAACGCAGAUGAAAGCGUCUUGCAGAAAUGGUUCACAGACCUCUCAGUGUUGCAGCUCAAUCGCCUGCUGGAUUUGCUUUAUCUUUGCGUAUCCUGCUUUGAAUACAAGGGCAAGAAGGUGUUUGAAAGAAUGAAUAGUCUGACAUUCAAGAAGUCAAAAGACAUGAGAGCCAAACUUGAAGAAGCUAUUUUGGGAAGCAUAGGGGCAAGACAGGAAAUGGUCCGAAGAAGCAGAGGACAGCUGGAGAGAAGUCCUUCUGGGAGCGCGUUUGGAAGUCAAGAAAAUUUGAGAUGGAGAAAGGAUAUGACUCACUGGCGUCAAAACACAGAAAAGCUUGACAAAAGCCACAAACCAGCCAGAUCAAGGGCAGAGAUAGAACAUGAGGCACUUAUCGAUGGAAAUCUUGCAACAGAAGCGAAUCUGAUUAUUUUGGAUACACUAGAGAUAGUUGUACAGACGGUUUCUGUGACGGAGUCCAAAGAGAGCAUCCUUGGCGGGGUGCUGAAGGUUCUUCUGCACAGCAUGGCCUGCAACCAAAGUGCACUUUAUCUCCAACACUGCUUCGCCACACAGAGGGCUUUGGUUUCAAAGUUCCCAGAGCUGCUGUUUGAAGAAGAGACGGAGCAGUGUGCGGAUCUGUGCCUGCGGCUCCUGCGACACUGUAGCAGCAGUAUCAGCACGAUACGGUCACACGCCAGUGCCUCACUUUACCUCCUCAUGAGGCAAAACUUUGAGAUUGGGAACAACUUUGCCAGGGUGAAAAUGCAGGUGACCAUGUCUCUCUCAUCCCUGGUGGGGACAUCCCAGAACUUCAAUGAGGAAUUUUUGCGACGUUCCCUGAAGACUAUUUUGACAUAUGCUGAAGAAGAUCUGGAACUUAGGGAGACAACAUUUCCUGAUCAGGUUCAGGAUUUAGUGUUCAACCUCCAUAUGAUCCUCUCUGACACAGUGAAAAUGAAGGAGCACCAGGAAGAUCCAGAAAUGCUGAUUGACUUGAUGUACAGGAUUGCGAAGGGCUAUCAGAACUCCCCUGACCUGCGCCUGACAUGGCUGCAGAACAUGGCUGGAAAGCACUCGGAGAGGAGCAACCACGCCGAGUCAGCCCAGUGCCUGGUCCACUCCGCAGCCUUGGUGGCUGAAUAUCUCAGCAUGCUGGAAGACCGAAAAUACCUCCCUGUAGGGUGUGUUACAUUUCAGAACAUAUCUUCUAAUGUUUUGGAAGAGUCAGCAGUUUCUGAUGAUGUUGUAUCACCAGACGAAGAAGGUAUCUGUUCUGGAAAGUAUUUUACAGAAGCUGGUCUGGUGGGAUUGCUGGAACAGGCUGCAGCGUCUUUCUCCAUGGCUGGCAUGUAUGAAGCAGUUAAUGAGGUUUACAAAGUCCUUAUUCCUAUCCACGAAGCUAACAGAGAUGCCAAGAAGCUGUCUACUAUUCAUGGUAAACUCCAAGAAGCAUUCAGCAAGAUAGUUCACCAGAGUACUGGCUGGGAGGUAGGUAACUCCGUUCUAGUUAGUAAAGAACACUAAUAGAUUUUUCAGAUGACUCACGCCAAUGCUUGCCCACAUGUGCUAGUUGUGGGUAUUUCUGUUGCUGUCUGCUGUUAAAACAAUUCAUUAACCAAAGAAAUACCAAUAAAGCGAUUGUGGUUGUAGUAGGAAAUUCUUCAUAAGAAGCUCUAGGUAGUGCAUGGAUGCUGACGUGUUCCACUAAUGAGGUUCUUUGGUGAAUGAGCCACUGUAUCAUCACUAGUUUGUUUUUAUAAUUUGUUUAUAUUUCUUUUCAUCAGCAUUGACACAGAAAAUCAUCCCUUCAUACCAUAUUUUCACCCCACCCACAGGGGUCGAUUUAAGCAAUAAUGCUCAGAGGUACUGAAACACAAAACUUGUUUCCUGCACGUACAGACCGUAUCUCGGAGAACGGGCUGCUUCAUUCUGCUCAUUUAAGAGCAAUCAGUUCAUUAAGUAGCGGUUAUCUGGCAGUGAAAUGGCUCAGUUGUGUUAACUGGAGUCAGUUUUUCUGCUUUCGUUUUUGUCAAGGCUGUUGACUCAUGUUUCUACAACAUACACCACGAGAACCACACAAUUGGAUUAAAGAUGGGCAAAGCCGUCGGCUUCAUCCGCAGCAGAGAGAGUUUGGUAACUCAGGCCCUCGCCCAGUCAACACAGCAGGCACAUGAGCAUCCAGAAGUCUCAGAAGACAUUGUAAAUGUUUUGUGAAGAUAAUGUUACAUUAUUUGCUUAGACUUCAGCUGUCCAGUUAAUCUCUGCUCUUCUGUGAAUUAGGCAGCUCAGCAUGGGCCAUCUCCCUCCAUGUUUCCACCGCGGGAACCACGCUUCCCAAACUGGGGCUAAGAACAAAAUUCUUUUGCAUUGUGUGAUGUAAAUAAUUUGGGGAGAUGAUAUCUGAAUAUCAGUUUUAGUUCCAGCCUAGCAAGAAAUUAAGUCUGGUAGUUUAAAAGUAAUCCAGAGAACGUGUGGUAAGGAGUGUAAAUGAUCUGUGUCCAAUAGCCAACAAAUGUGAAGGCCUGUGAGCAUCUAUUUUGAUUAGUCUGUCCCUAAAUCGACCCCUGAAGAAAAUCCUGUCAUUGGUUAUGAUUCUAACAUCACUCAGUCACGUUUUACUGCAUGGUAAAAGACACCCAUGGUUUCUGUUCUCAUCUGUUGUCGUGCUCCUUCAUGGCCACACUUUUUCUGAUCUUUGUGCUUUGUAGCUUUCAGAUUUGUUGCAUGUUUUGCCCUUUUUCCUUGUUUUAAAUACUUUAAUGGAUGCUCACCCUAUUUUUAUUUUAGAGUUUAUUUGCUGCCAAUUUGCUGCUUGUUUGUUUUUUGGAAUUUCCCUAAUUAAAUACUUUCUGUUUUCUCCUCUGUCGCCCUGGUUGCUGACCCUCCUCCCCACUCUUACUAUUGUCUGUUGUGGAUGGAAAGAGGAUGUUUGGCACCUACUUCCGGGUUGGUUUUUAUGGAACUAAAUUUGGAGACCUGGAUGAGCAAGAGUUUGUUUACAAGGAACCCGCGAUCACCAAGUUAGCUGAGAUUUCCCAUAGGCUGGAGGGAUUUUAUGGAGAACGGUUUGGUGAAGAUGUGCUUGAAGUGAUUAAGGACUCAAACCCUGUGGACAAAUGUAAACUAGAUCCUAACAAGGCCUACAUUCAGAUAACCUACGUGGAGCCGUACUUCGACACGUACGAGAUGAAGGACAGGAUAACUUACUUCGACAAGAACUACAACUUGCGGCGUUUCAUGUACUGCACGCCCUUCACGCUGGACGGCCGGGCUCACGGGGAGCUGCACGAGCAGUUCAAGCGCAAAACCAUCCUGACGACGUCCCAUGCUUUCCCAUACAUUAAAACCAGGAUAAACGUCAUUCACAAAGAGGAGAUCAUUUUGACGCCCAUUGAAGUUGCCAUAGAGGACAUGCAGAAGAAAACACAGGAACUGGCUUUUGCAACCCACCAAGACCCCGCGGACCCAAAGAUGCUGCAGAUGGUGCUGCAAGGAUCAGUAGGUACCACAGUAAAUCAGGGACCAUUAGAAGUUGCACAAGUUUUCUUGUCUGAAAUACCCAAUGAUCCAAAGCUCUUCAGACAUCACAACAAGCUACGGCUCUGUUUCAAAGACUUCACGAAAAGAUGUGAAGAUGCUCUGCGCAAGAACAAGAGCCUGAUCGGUCCAGACCAAAAGGAGUAUCAGCGAGAACUUGAAAGGAAUUAUCACCGGUUAAAGGAAGCUCUCCAGCCUUUGAUAAACAGAAAGAUCCCUCAGUUGUAUAAGGCAGUGCUGCCGGUCACUUGUCACAGAGACUCCUUCAGCAGGAUGAGCCUUCGCAAAAUGGAUAUCUAAACAAGUUAAGAGCCAAAAUAAAAAAAGCACUUAAAAGUAAGGUUUUGAAAAGAAAGAGCCUUGUUAUCAGCGCUGGGAAUCAAAGAAGUUUUAUUGUGAAAUAAAACUUGGACUUCAUCCUGGACAUCCCACACACCUCUUCCUCCAUCAAAGUGUUCAGUGGCCAAAAAUCAUUCUGAAUUGUCAAAUGUAGACUUAUCAAUGUUUGGAAAAAAAAUCAUGGCAGUGGUAUCUGGAGUAUUUGUGAUAAGCUGUAAACUUACCUGUUUUUUAAGGCAUUUUUAUGACUCAAAGGUACACUAAACGCAUUUACCUUUAUUUAUAGCAUUACCUAAUGUUAUUUACUUUUAGUUCAUAUAUUUAAUUUAUAUUAGGACCAUACGCAAAUGCAUUUUUGAAGUUUUUAAUGUAGUGAUGAUGGUUAUUUUGAUGGUACUAUUAAAUAUGUGAAUGUUUACACUUUAA